GAUGGCAGGUCAUGGAUAAAUUGUCAAACCUCAAUAUCGGUCAUAUGAUAGAUUCAAUUAGCUUAUGUUCAUAUAUGAUUCUAUAGAAACUCUUUUCGAUCAAUCACAUUGCUAUGGUCAUAGACUUAAGGACUCAGCCUCUUAAAUCCCAUAGGACUACUUCCUUCUACUAGAAUCGAUAGAUCUCAUCUUGAUGCACACCCUACUCCUACAGUGGACCAACUAUCAUCAACAUCCACUACAAGGGAUCUUUGAGACCCCUGUU
rnacentral:lncRNA from 1 species